AGGACGAACGCUGGCGGCGUGCUUAACACAUGCAAGUCGAGCGGUAAGGCUCCUUCGGGAGUACACGAGCGGCGAACGGGUGAGUAACACGUGAGCAAUCUGCCCUUCUCUUCGGAAUAACCAUUGGAAACGAUGGCUAAUGCCGAAUACGACCUCCUUUCGCAUGAUCGGAGUGGAAAGCUCCGGCGGAGAAGGAUGAGCUCGCGGCCUAUCAGCUAGUUGGCGGGUAACGCCAC
rnacentral:rRNA from 1 species